UCCCUGGUGGUCUAGUGGUUAGGAUUCAGUGCUCUCACUGUCGUGGCCUGGGUUCGUUUCCCGGUCAGGGAA
rnacentral:tRNA from 1 species